CCCUUAGACGUUCUGGGCCGCACGCGCGCUACACUGACGAAGGCAACGAGCUUUCCUUUACCGAAAGGUACGGGUAAUCUUUUGAAACUUCGUCGUGCUGGGGAUAGAUCCUUGCAAUUUUUGAUCUUAAACGAGGAAUGCCUAGUAAGCGCAAGUCAUCAACUUGCGUUGAUUACGUCCCUGCCCUUUGUACACACCGCCCGUCGCUACUACCGAUUGAAUGGUUUAGUGAGGCCUUCGGAUCCGCGACUCGUUUGUGGAGAAGUUGGACAAACUCAGUCAUUUAGAGGAAGUAAAAGUUGUAACA
rnacentral:rRNA from 1 species